AGCGAACGCUGGCGGCAUGCCUUACACAUGCAAGUCGAACGGCAGCGGGCCUUCGGGUGCCGGCGAGUGGCGAACGGGUGAGUAAUGCAUCGGAACGUGCCAUUGAGUGGGGGGAUAACGUAGCGAAAGUUGCGCUAAUACCGCAUAUUCUGUGAGCAGGAAAGCAGGGGACCGCAAGGCCUUGCGCUCUUUGAGCGGCCGAUGUCAGAUUAGCUAGUUGGUAGGGUAACGGCCUACCAAGGCCACGAUCGGUAGCUGGUCUGAGAGGAUGAUCAGCCACACUGGGACUGAGACACGGCCCAGACUCCUACGGGAGGCAGCAGUGGGGAAUAUUGGACAAUGGGCGCAAGCCUGAUCCAGCAA
rnacentral:rRNA from 1 species